ACGGGGCAAGGCAAUCCCCCGUUCAGGCGUUCCCCGCCCAAGCAUUGC
rfam:Sphingobium sp. C100 contig41, whole genome shotgun sequence.